GACAGAGGGUGCAAACGUUGCUCGGAUUUACUGGGCGUAAAGCGCACGUAGGCGGUCUUGUAAGUCGGGUGUGAAAACCCAGGGCUCAACCCUGGCAGUGCACACGAUACUGCAUGACUGGGGUACUGAAGAGGAGAGCGGAAUUCUCGGUGUAGAGGUGAAAUUCGUAGAUAUCGGGAGGAACACCAGUGGCGAAGGCGGCGCUCUGGGCAGAUACCGACGCUGAGAUGCGAAAGCGUGGGAAGCAAACAGG
rnacentral:rRNA from 1 species